ACCUACGGGACGCAGCAGUAGGGAAUUUUCGUCAAUGGGCGCAAGCCUGAACGAGCAAUGCCGCGUGAACGAGGAAGGUCUUCGGAUCGUAAAGUUCUGUUGAAGGGGAAAAAGAGCGGAGAGAGGAAAUGGUCUCCGAUUGAUAUUACCCUUCGAGGAAGUCACGGCUAACUACGUGCCAGCAGCCGCGGUAAUACGUAGGUGGCGAGCGUCAUCCGGAAUGAUUGGGCGUAAAGGGUGCGUAGGCGGCCUGCUAAGUCUGGAGUGAAAGGUACUGGCCCAACCGGUACAGGCUCUGGAAAAUG
rnacentral:rRNA from 1 species